rnacentral:tRNA from 1 species
UAGCACAGUGGUUAAGAGCCUAGGCUGCUAACCAAGAGGUCGGCGGUUCGAAUCCGCC